rnacentral:rRNA from 1 species
CGCUAAGGCGUUGAAGCAGUGUAUGUCAGACUUCCAAGAAAAGCUCGCAAUGUCACAAAUAAAUAAUGCCUGUACCAUAACCGACACAGGUGGGUAGGUAGAGUAUACUAAGGGGCGCGAGAUAACUCUCUCUAAGGAACUCGGCAAAAUGACUCCGUAACUUCGGGAGAAGGAGUGCCUUAUUUAUAAGGUUGCAAUAACAAGAUCCAAGCAACUGUUUAUCAAAAACACAGGUCUCCGCUAAGUCGUAAGACGAUGUAUGGGGGCUGACGCCUGCCCAGUGCCAGAAGGUUAAAGAAGUUGGUUAGUGUAUGCGAAGCUGAUGACUGAAGCCCUGGUGAACGGCGGCCGUAACAAUAACGGUCCUAAGGUAGCGAAAUUCCUUGUCGGGUAAGUUCCGACCCGCACGAAAGGCGUAAUGAUUUGGAUACUGUCUCGGAGAGAGGCUCGGUGAAAUAGACUUGUCUGUGAAGAUGCGGACUACCUGCACCAGGACAGAAAGACCCUAUGAAGCUUUACUGUAACUUGAAAUUGGAAUUGGACUUUGCUUGCGCAGUAUAGGUGGGAAGCGUUGAAAAUAUUCUUGCGGGAGUAUUGGAGCUAUCAGUGAGAUACCACUCUUGUAAUGUUAGAUUUCUAACUUUGAACCAUAAUCUGGUCAAAGAACAGUUUCAGGUGGGCAGUUUGACUGGGGCGGUCGCCUCCCAAAUGGUAACGGAGGCGUACAAAGGUUUCCUCUGAACGGAUAGAAAUCGUAUCUAGAGUGUAAAGGCAUAAGGAAGCUUGACUGUGAGACCUACAAGUCGAGCAGGGACGAAAGUCGGUCUUAGUGAUCUGACGGUACUGAGUGGAAAGGCCGUCACUCAACGGAUAAAAGUUACUCUAGGAUAACAGGCUGAUCUCCCCCAAGAGUUCACAUCGACGGGGAGGUUUGGCACCUCGAUGUCGGCUCAUCGCAUCCUGGGGCGGUAGUACGUCCCAAGGGUUGGGCUGUUCGCCCAUGAAAGCGGUACGCGAGCUGGGUUCAGAACGUCGUGAGACAGUUCGGUCCAUAUCCGGUGUAGGCGCUAGAAUAUUGAGAGGAGCCUUCUUUAGUACGAGAGGACCGAGAAGGACACACCGCUGGUGUACCAGUUAUCGUGCCAACGGUAAACGCUGGGUAGCUAUGUGUGGAGUGGAUAACCGCUGAAAGCAUCUAAGUGGGAAGCCCACCUCGAGAUGAGUAUUC